rnacentral:rRNA from 1 species
AUUGAACGCUGGCGGCAGGCCUAACACAUGCCAGUCGAGCGGAUGAAGGGAGCUUGCUCCUGGAUUCAGCGGCGGACGGGUGAGUAAUGCCUAGGAAUCUGCCUGGUAGUGGGGGAUAACGUCCGGAAACGGGCGCUAAUACCGCAUACGUCCUGAGGGAGAAAGUGGGGGAUUUUCGGACCUCACGCUAUCAGAUGAGCCUAGGUCGGAUUAGCUAGUUGGUGGGGUAAAGGCCUACCAAGGCGACGAUCCGUAACUGGUCUGAGAGGAUGAUCAGUCACACUGGAACUGAGACACGGUCCGGACUCCUACGGGAGGCAGCAGUGGGGAAUAUUGGACAAUGGGCGAAAGCCUGAUCCAGCCAUGCCGCGUGUGUGAAGAAGGUCUUCGGAUUGUAAAGCACUUUAAGUUGGGAGGAAGGGCAGUAAGUUAAUACCUUGCUGUUUUGACGUUACCAACAGAAUAAGCACCGGCUAACUUCGUG